rnacentral:rRNA from 1 species
AAUGAACGUUGGCGGCGUGGAUUAGGCAUGCAAGUCGAGCGAGAAGCCUUAGUUUGACGCUUCGGUUGAUUUCUAAGGUGGAAAGCGGCGAAAGGGUGAGUAACGCGUAGUUACGUACCCCGGGGUCCGGAAUAGCUGCGGGAAACUGCAGGUAAUGCCGGAUGAUGUUUCCGAACCAAAGGUGAGAUCCCGCCCCGGGAGCGGACUGCGUCCUACUAGCUUGUUGGUGGGUAAAGGCCUACCAAGGCUUCGAUGGGUAGCGGGCGUGAGAGCGUGGCCCGCCACACUGGGACUGAGACACUGCCCAGACACCUACGGGUGGCUGCAGUCGAGAAUCUUCGGCAAUGCGCGAAAGCGUGACCGAGCGACGCCGCGUGCGGGAUGAAGGCCUUCGGGUUGUAAACCGCGGUCGGAGGGGAGGAAAUCCUUGGGGCGUUCCCCUUGGUUGACCUAUCCUCGACGAAGGACGGGCUAAGUUCGUG